GCCUUGCCAGCCCGCUCAGAAACUUAAAGGAAUUGACGGGGCCCGCACAAGCGGUGGAGUAUGUGGUUUAAUCGAUGCAACGCGAAGAACCUUACCUGGUCUUGACAUCCCGGAGACCCUUAGGAAACUAGGGGGUGCUUCCAUCUGGAAGAAUCUGGAGACAGGUGCUGCAUGGCUGUCGUCAGCUCGUGUCGUGAGAUGUUGGGUUAAGUCCCGCAACGAGCGCAACCCUUGCCUUUAGUUGCCAGCAGUUCGGCUGGGCACUCUAAAGGGACUGCCGGUGUUAAACCGGAGGAAGGUGGAGAUGACGUCAAGUCCUCAUGGCCUUUAUGACCAGGGCUACACACGUACUACAAUGGCCGAUACAAAGGGCAGCGACACUGCGAGGUGAAGCCAAUCCCGUAAAAUCGGUCUCAGUCCGGAUUGGAGUCUGCAACUCGACUCCAUGAAGUUGGAAUCGCUAGUAAUCGUGGAUCAGCAUGCCACGGUGAAUACGUUCCCGGGCCUU
rnacentral:rRNA from 1 species